AACAAAUUUGAACAGUUAUAACGCGCGCAGCUUCGUUCAUGCCUGUGAACGUUAAACCAAGAGUAAGAAAGAGACGUACACGUGUCACUUCUGGUAUUUUUUUAAUCACAAUUUUAUUUUUUCAUCUAGUUUUUUUUCAGUUUUUAUUCACUUCACCUAGUUUUGUCGUAGUCAACGGGACGAUCUACACGAUGUCGAGUGUCGGAAACGAGAAGAGCGUAGUCCACGAAAAAUGAGAGCGACGUCGCGUAAGGCACGGAAAUUUGAGGAACGAAAUAUCACGGAAAAUUCUUCAACUUACUGGGGUAUGGAGACCACGGGACAUCCGAGCUGCAGGAGACUUCGAGCUAAGAAUUCGGGAGCGUGUUCGGAUAUCGAAGGUGCGGAUUUUCUGGUGGGCCUGGCGGGUCGGCUGGUAUUUUCCUCAACAUCCGUACCGGAGCUGGUGUUCGGUACUUUCAAUGUCGAAGCUGGAUAAUCCGUUGUCUUCUUCAGCCGCAAUGAUCCUCCACGUUUCAACUGCGUGCCAAUCUCACCCUCUGAAAAUUCGCUGAAUUUACACCUUCCAUUUUUUCGGAGCACGCUGAAGACGCCACUAAAAACACGUGUUUCGAACUCUGCUUACUCUCGCGGACUGUGUCGGAGGCGUGAAACGUUAAUUUUCAGUCUUCAAAUUAUACAUCGCAACUGAAAUGCACCGCAGGUAUACACGCGAGUGUACGUUUACAUUCAAAUGACAACAUGCGAGGCCGGUUUAUCACGCACGUUUGGUAAUCACACGGCUCAACAUAUGGUGAG